GCCGACUAUUUUCGGGACCUCGAUAACAUUUCGAUAUAUGACUGGGGCGGUGCCACCUACCCUUAUUUCUUAAGGAUGAUGGACCGUCUGGCUUUGGGCGAUCCCAAAGUGUACGGGGCUUCCAAAAUUCUGCAGCCUUGGGCAUAUGAGCAUCUAGACUUCCUAUCUCUAGCUCGGGUGGAUCAAGACCGUGAUGACUUUCCUCUUCCCCAAAAAUGGGGUUUAGGUGUGACCCCCCGUCUUCAUCCUAUUUCAAGGAGAGACAUUGUGAAUCAGCUCUCUGAGGUGAAUUGGACUCCAUUCCAGUCUGUGACCUUCCUUUUUGUAGCUCACCGAGAUGAGGCCAGGCGACUAACAGGUCUUCGCAUCUUAUUCCAAGGUCCCAGUGGUUCAGCGUGGUACCUCAGGUAGAGAGUCACUAGAUAGUUGGUUAACUCAGAUGGUCCCUUAGUUCCAUAUCAUCCUCCCUCCGUUCAUGCAUAAUCCUAACGCGAUGCCCGAGAACGAGUUCCGGGCGACCUUAGUUGGCAUGACUGCAGAUCGCUUCACUGAUCCGAUGGCGAGUUAUCAGGAGUUCCUCUAGCAGGAGACCUUGUGCGUGCCACUGACAUCUGACGACCCUCGAGCACUUACUCCGAACCUUUCUUAAGCAUCUUGAUUUCACAUUUUGUGAGUGCUUAACCUUGUUUCCUUUUCCAGUAUGAUAGACCGGUCAUCUUUGUUGGCCGGAACAUUCCCAGGUCGGUCGAUUCCCCCACAGAGGGUUCCAUGCACAUGAGCAUCGGGUUGGUUCAUAACAUGGCCGAGCAUUAUUUCUCUAUUCCUGGUUUUCCCGGGUGGACUUACCAUGAUGCGUGGAAUCCUGCAGCCCAGGUCAUGUUACCAAGAACAACAGUGGCUCUUGAUACUGAGUCUCCCCAUUCCUUUUGACUUAUUUCUCCUUCCGUCUACACCGAAUGCCAAUAAUGAUUCAAAGCCUGGAUACCUGCCUGUACCACCAGAUGGAGCAGAAUUGAGACAUGGUCAAGAGGGGUGGGCCCUUGUUGAUAUGCGAGAGAUUUUGAUGAAGGCUCCCAACUCAAGUGGGAAUGAUCUCAUCCGCUUGCUCCUCUUCUUUGGAGAAUCUAGGCCUUUGAUGACACCUCAAAAACCUGGCACACUUCUUAAGAAUCUCUAAAAAUUUUGGCAAAACUUUCACAUGUAAAAAUGAAAGUUGGGCCUAAUUAGGCAGAAUUUUGACUUCAGAUCAAAUGUCAGGCUAGGACAUGUCAAAUGGAAAAGUGGGCCUCUUCUUUCUGUGCACUAUCCCAUAGCGUGGAUUUUGAGCUCAUUUUUUGCUCAUAAAUAUUCAAGAUUUGCAAGGAAGGAUUUUAUGUCCAAUUGCAAACUGGGGGUGUUCUGGAAAUCCUUAUUUAUGCCAUUCACGCACCAUCAGAGAAUACUUAGAAUCAAUUUUUCAAUAUAAA